rnacentral:rRNA from 1 species
AGCGAACGCUAGCGGCAGGCCUCAAACAUGCAAGUCGAACGCGAAAGGUAGCAAUACCGAGUAGAGUGGCGCACGGGCGAGUAACACGUAACUAACUUCCCCCCUCGCUGGGGACAACUCCGGGAAACCGGAGCUAAUACCGAAUAAUCUCUCAGGAACUGCGGUUCUUGCGGGUAAAGUCGUAAGACGCGAAGGGAUAGGGUUGCGGCCUAUUAGUUUGUUGGUGAGGUAAUGGCUCACCAAGACGACGAUAGGUAGCUGGUCUGAGAGGACGAUCAGCCACACUGGAACUGACACACGGUCCAGACUCCCACGGGAGGCAGCAGUUGGGAAUAUUGGACAAUGGGCGAAAGCCUGAUCCAGCCAUGCCGCGUGAAGGAUGAAGGCCUUCGGGUCGUAAACUUCUUUCAGUUCCCACAAAGGGGCA